UACGGGGGGGGCAAGCGUUGUUCGGAAUUACUGGGCGUAAAGGGCUCGUAGGUGGCCAACUAAGUCAGACGUGAAAUCCCUCGGCUUAACCGGGGAACUGCGUCUGAUACUGGAUGGCUUGAGUUCGGGAGAGGGAUGCGGAAUUCCAGGUGUAGCGGUGAAAUGCGCAGAUAUCAGGAGGAACACCAAUUGCGAAGGCAGCUCGCUGGGACGUUACUGACGCUGAGACGCGAAAGCGUGGGGAGCAAACAGG
rnacentral:rRNA from 1 species